GUCUCCGGGCGUGUCUGGCGGGCUGUGUUGGUGCCAGACACGUCUACCCGUGGGCAUCCCGUUUCUGUGUGGCCGGCGGCCCCGGGGUGCCACAGGCAGGGGAGGGGCAUUCGGGUGGUUCUCUGGCUCUGGGCUUGAAUCGUGCCGUGCGCCCGGGCACUAGGGGGCACACCAGUAAGUGUUGGGAGCCACGGUCAGGAGUGUGCGUGUUUGGGUCGGACACAUAACCGCAGGAGUCACUGACAGCGUGUGCCACCCUGCUCGGGUCACACCCGCAACCCUGGUGUCUGCCGAGCGCCGGGGCCCAGGACUUCCACCAUUGCUGCGUCCAUCCCUGUGCGUGUGCAGCGCUGGGGGGCCAGGCCCUGGUGCUGGGCUGGUGGACUGCUCCGCCUGUGCUCCCCAGGCUGACCCCUGCUGGGCUGGUGGACUGCUCCGCUGUGCUCCCCAGGCCCUGGUGCUGGGCUGGUGGACUGUUCCGCCUGUGCUCCCUAGGCGUGGUGCUGGGCUCCUGGACUGCUCUGCCGUGCUCCCCAGGCUGACCCCAAACUGCUCACACUCAGGGCGUGCCCUCACUUACAGAGCAUUGUUCGAGAUUAAUGCUCGUGCGUGCGUGAGUGUGAGCCAGUGUGGGAGCCCUCGGAGGUGCCCGAGGGGGGAGGUGACCGAGGGUGCCACCUGCCCUGGAGCUGCAGCCGCGGGCGCAGUCACUCCCGUGAGGGGCUCUCGUGCUCCCUCUUCACUGCUGCCCUCCCCAGCCGUGAGCGCUGCGUGUGAGUGUGGGCACAGCCUUCGGGUGUCCGUGUGUGCCCGGGACAAUGCUGCCCUGCUGAGUGCUGGCGUGCGCGCGCGCGCGCGCGUGUGUGUAUGUGUGUGGGGGGGCGUGGCUGUGGCUUCUGAACUCUCGGGACUUGUGAGUCACUUCUGUGGAGGUUGUGCGGUGUGCCCUGGUGUGCCGGGCCAUCUCCGGUCUGGUCUGCCGUGGCGCCCGCGGUGUCCGGGGGCGGCGGGCCGUCGGUGCUCACAGGAGUGCAAACGGCUGGAGAGCGCCGGUGCCCACGUGUCCGGGGCGCAGACACACCCGCCCUGCCCCGCCCUCCGGGGCUCGCGCGCGGCCCCGGGGCCCAGAGCUAGCAAGCUGGCGGCCGUGUGCGUGCUGCGCGCCGGGGGGCCCUGGGCGGGCGGCUGGCUGC
rnacentral:lncRNA from 1 species